UACGUAGGGGGCUAGCGUUGUCCGGAAUCAUUGGGCGUAAAGCGCGUGUAGGCGGCCCGGUAAGUCCGCUGUGAAAGUCCAGGGCUCAACCCUGGGAUGCCGGUGGAUACUGUCGGGCUCGAGUCCGGAAGAGGCGAGUGGAAUUCCUGGUGUAGCGGUGAAAUGCGCAGAUAUCAGGAGGAACACCAAUGGCAAAGGCAGCUCGCUGGGACGUGACUGACGCUGAGACGCGAAAGCGUGGGGAGCAAACAGG
rnacentral:rRNA from 1 species